rnacentral:lncRNA from 1 species
AGGCAGUGUAUUUCGUUUGGGUCAAAAGAAUUUAUUUUCCCUUAUUUUCUCGUAUAGUUCCUCUGCUUGAAAAAUGCCUGCAAAAUUCCAUCACACCUUUACGGGGACCAGUUUGGGUCUCUAAGGGAGAAGGUUUCAGCCCCUCAGGAGCUAAGAUGUACAUCCAAGGAGUUCUUUUGGCCUUGUACCAACGAUUAAAAUCUGCAAAAAAAUAUUCUAAACAGUUGAAACUGGCUGUGAAUGAACAGAAAGGGAAAGUUACUGAAAAAGUCAUUCUUUCAAUGACAGUGAAAGAACACCGUCAGGCGCAAGCAGAAGUGAACAGGCUGAUUGAUGAAUUGCAGACAGCUAUCAAAAGCAACAGAGGUCAUCUCUCUAAACUUGGCCCCCAAUUACAGGCUGAGCAGGAGCAAUUCUCCUCUUAUGUCUACCAACACAUUAAAAGCCUUCCAGCAAACACUCUUAUCCCAGGAGGCCUGCAGCUCAAGGUGGGUGUCAUUCUGUGACUAUCAAUGGGUUCAGCCAGAGACAAAACACUCUG